rnacentral:lncRNA from 1 species
CAAAAUCCAAGGGAGGGAGCAGAUAUGAGGAUGGGCUGCAGUUGUGGUUUGCCACAAGGGGAGCUUAAUUUAAGUCUUUCAAAUGUUGGUUUUGUAUUGAAUCUUAAAACCGCUAAAAGUUUGUAAGUAAAACUUUUUUUUUCUUGAAUAUAAUUUAACAUUUAUUCAAAAAAAAAGAAAUUUGUUUAUGUCCAUUUUAUCCAAAUGUUAUAUAUUAUUACGAAAUUUUCAUUAUAUUAUAUUUUAUUCAAAUUUUGUUUCAAAAUAAAUUAAUUAAAUAAAAUAAUUAAAGAGAGAAAAAACAAAAAUCAUGGUACCAAAAAAACCUUUCUUUCUCGACGAAGGCGACUUUGGCGGCGACUUUGGCGGCGACUUCGGUGGCGAUUGGAGCAACUUUCAUGUCCGACCAGAUUUCGUCACGAUUCCGAUGGCGAGUGGGGCGUUUUCGGUAAGACUCUUCAUACUCUGCCUUCAUUUAUACUUUCUCCUUUUUUCCAUGAAGUUUCUAGGCGUUUUAAUCUCAACAACUUUGAGUUCUGGCGAGGUAAAGAGAGCUUCUUCUUGGUCUCGACACAGAGCUUCGUGAACGGCGUUGGUGUAUAUCACGACAAAAAUCAUCGUCGUUGAACUUGAUUUUUCUGAAGUGAUAAACCAGAUCUCAUAUGAGUCUACCAUACCAGAUCUAUUGACUUUAUCCAUCAGACUAUUGUCUACCGGUGAAGAAAGUUAAUAAGGCUACCAUCCUUACAAAUACUCUACUAAUCUGAACAAUAUUUUUUCAAAUAGAGGUUAUCUGAGUAAGUACCAAAAACAAAUAUAAGUCUACCAUGAUUGUAUAUCAGAAAUAUUAAAUCUACCAAGAAUUAAUAAAUCUACCAUACUUGUAAUUAAACCUACCACAUUAUUUACUGAAUUUCAAUGGUUUUAAAU